rnacentral:rRNA from 1 species
CCUACGGGUGGCAGCAGUGAGGAAUAUUGGUCAAUGGACGAGAGUCUGAACCAGCCAAGUAGCGUGAAGGAUGACUGCCCUAUGGGUUGUAAACUUCUUUUAUAUGGGAAUAAAAUGUUCCACGUGUGGGAUUUUGUAUGUACCAUAUGAAUAAGGAUCGGCUGACUCCGUGCCAGCAGCCGCGGUAAUACGGAGGAUCCGAGCGUUAUCCGGAUUUAUUGGGUUUAAAGGGAGCGUAGGUGGAUUGUUAAGUCAGUUGUGAAAGUUUGCGGCUCAACCGUAAAAUUGCAGUUGAAACUGGCAGUCUUGAGUACAGUAGAGGUGGGCGGAAUUCGUGGUGUAGCGGUGAAAUGCUUAGAUAUCACGAAGAACUCCGAUUGCGAAGGCAGUUCACUGGACUGCAACUGACACUGAGGCUCGAAAGUGUGGGUAUCAAACAGGAUUAGAUACCCUAGUAGUC